rnacentral:rRNA from 1 species
UUACAGCCUUGCUGAAUUAUUCACCCUUGUCUUUUGCGUACUUCUUGUUUCCUUGGUGGGUUCGCCCACCACUAGGACAAACAUAAACCUUUUGUAAUUGCAAUCAGCGUCAGUAACAAAUUAAUAAUUACAACUUUCAACAACGGAUCUCUUGGUUCUGGCAUCGAUGAAGAACGCAGCGAAAUGCGAUAAGUAGUGUGAAUUGCAGAAUUCAGUGAAUCAUCGAAUCUUUGAACGCACAUUGCGCCCUUUGGUAUUCCAAAGGGCAUGCCUGUUCGAGCGUCAUUUGUACCCUCAAGCUUUGCUUGGUGUUGGGCGUCUUGUCUCUAGCUUUGCUGGAGACUCGCCUUAAAGUAAUUGGCAGCCGGCCUACUGGUUUCGGAGCGCAGCACAAGUCGCACUCUCUAUCAGCAAAGGUCUAGCAUCCAUUAAGCCUUUUUUUCAACUUUUGACCUCGGAUCAGGUAGGGAUACCCGCUGAACUUAAGCAUAUCAA